CCUCCGUGCGUCACACAGAUGAUGGAGGCCCAUCUGAGCAGAGACCAAGCUAUCAAGGCCUGUAUAGCCAAAACAUCUGCUGUGAUGGGACAGCUGGGUGAGGUAAGAGCAAAAGACUGCGAGGACCUGGCAGUCAUCAAACAACUCAGGAAUGAGCAGUCCAAAGUCCGUCCUGUCUUUAAUAUAAAAAAAACACAUCAAAGCUGUAAGAUGUGUUUUUUCAGAACGACGACGAGGUGGAACUAUAUUCUGACAUUAAGUGUUUACAGCGCUUUGCCUUCGCCGCAGUUUUCAAACUAAAACGGGGGCCGGGGCAUUUCCAAACUUCACCAUUGAGUUCCAUGGAAAUCAAGAUGAAGCAACACCUCUGACCCAGGCAUAUGAGUUCAUGGGAAAAAACAGUGUUCAACUAUUUGAAAAUCCUCCAACUUUCCUCAGAUGUUCUGGCAAGGAAGGAUGGGUGGAUGGAGGUGUGCUCUCCCUCCCUCCGGCUCUGCAUGUUUGCACCAGAACAGAGCAACACCACAAUUAUAUUUUGAAUGAUCAACAUAUUUUUGUUUUGGAUGGUUUGGAGUUGCCCUGAAGCUGCUGGCUGUCUCGUUUCCCGCUGUGGGUUUCUCAGGAGGUGCUGAAGGAGAUGUGCACCAUGGAUGACCACAUCGUCCACAACCUGAACACCACCGUGCCCACAGUUUCCGUCUCAGGCCAAGUUGAUGCCACACAAACAUCUGUAUGAAUGUGUGAGUGUGUGAGUGUGACGACCGAGACUGAAAUAUAAACCUCCAAAGUGUCCCUUCUAGAGUUCAUUGGAAAAAGAUGUUCAACCAUGAGAAAUCAUUCAUCAUAAUCAUUUUGUUUGGUUCUCCAGAAACCAUCUGGAUGGUCAGCAGCAGUGUUUCUCUAAAUCCUUCCAUUGACCUCAGAUGACACGUUUGGGAGAACCAAACUCACAUUCGUAUCUUGUGUAACUUUGACGAACUAAAGGAUCCAAGUACUCCCACUAUAGUAUCUGUUCCUGAAGCUCCUUUGAAGAAACGUGCCACAGUGGGGAAAAUAGAGGGGUAGAAAAAUGUGCAAAACGUGACUGGGUGUGAACUCUGGAGUUCAUGUGGUCUCUGUUUUCUUGCCUUUGAUUUUAAAUGCGGUCUGGGCUGUUGUGUAGUGUUACUUUGUCCUGUUUAUGUUGCACUUCUAGCAUCUCAAUCAAUGGUUGUAAUAUCUGUAACAGACUAGGCAGCAAACUAGGUUUUAGCUAAGCUAUAAAUGCUACGUUGUUUGAUUAUAAAGGAGUAGAAUGAACUGUUUAAAAGGUGAAGGAUACAGAAGCACAGCAAGUUAUAAGCUGUCGUGUGUUGGCUAUGGGGGAUACUCCUGUUGUGUAGAGUUAGUACAGACCCUAUUUCAUUGAAAAUAAUGCACAAUAUUACAUUACCUUAUCAGUAUAUAUUACUGUUGUAUUGCCACACUCUAAACACUGGCUCAAAGCUUGAUUAAAUUAGCAUUAUGGACUCAGUCAUGUUGAUGGUACUAUGUUGUGCUGAAUUUUAAAGAAUCACCUGCUUCACCUAACAUAAGAAAUUCAUUCAUUGUCACUUCAUAUUGACUGGUAAUAAUUACAUCUGUAUCUCCUGAGAUGGAUUUCAUAUUCAUGGUGUAGUUUUCUUGAGAAAAUCUAAGUUAUUAUACAAUGAAUAAUCAUUAAACUCAUAAAUAUGGAAUCUGUAUCUAAUCACCAACAAGAUAUUUAUGCUGUUAUCCUGAGUUGCGAAGUCCUUAUUACAACAUAGAUAUGCCAAUGCAUAUGUUGGUGAAUACAAUGCGUUUCUAUAUAGUUCAUCCAGACAUAUUCAAAAUGUUGGCAGUUUAUGUUUUUGUACAAUUUAUGUAAACCUGAUGCUGUAGCAGAUUUCCAACCUGCUUAACAAUAAUAGGUUCCCUAAUGCAAUAAACGUAAAUGAUUUGUCAACUUUCCUAUAGCUUCUAUCAAAGUGCCAGCUGUCAUUUGUGCCUGAGUAAACUGAAUAUGCUGCCUUACAGAAAUGCAGAACUAAGAACUGUCUGUUUGUGCUCUGAAAUCACAGUAGAUCUUUAGUCUUCAGUGUGUUGUUGUAUACCUUUUUUUUUUUAGGUCUUUAUUGUGUAUUAUACCUAAUUUAAACCUCCUGACAAAGGAGGUCAUAUCUGCCAUAAUUAUUUUUCAGCUUUAAUUUCUGUAUGAGUUAACAUUGAAUGUUCUUUUAUUUAGAUUCUGUUUCACGGUAACAUGUUGUGACACUUAUGUGGAAGUCAUGUCAAAUUAGAAACACCGAUAUGUCAAUAAAGAGUUUUGUGUUACACC